UCAGGCAUAGGCAGGCGGGGAGCAGCGGUAUCGUAAACCGCAGGUGGUCGGUUCAAGUCCGACAGUCGGCU
rnacentral:tRNA from 2 species